AACGAACGCUGGCGGCGCGUCUUAAACAUGCAAGUCGAACGGCAGGAAGGGGCUUGCCCCUUCUGAGAGUGGCGGACUGGUGAGUAACACGUGGGUGACAUACCUUUUAGUUUGGGAUAGCUAUUAGGAAAAGUAGGUAAUACCGAAUGUGACCGUACCUGUUAGAGGGGGAGGAGGGAAGGAGCUAAGGCUUCGCUAAAAGAAUGGCUCGCGGCCCAUUAUGCUCGUUGGUGGGGUAACGGCCCACCAAGGCGAUGAUGGGUAUCCGGCCGGGGAGAGUGAUCGGCCACAUUGGAACUGGGACACGGCCCAGACUUCUACGGGAGGCAGCAGUUAAGAACAGGACGCAAUGGUGGAAAGUCUGACGGAGCGAGGGCGCGUGGAUGAAGAAUGCCGAGAGGGUGUAAAAUCCUUUUACGCGUGAUGAAUAAGUACAGCAGGGAAUGAUGGUGGAGUGACGGUAAUGGGUGAAGAAGCACCGGCUAACUACGUG
rnacentral:rRNA from 1 species